AACGCAUCUUGCGCUUCUUGGUAUUCCAGGAAGCAUGCCUGUUUGAGUCUCAGUUGACUCUCUGACCGCUUCGGCGGCCAGGAUCUGAGCGGACCAGCGGUUAACGCUCGCCGCUCUAAACGCAUGCAGCCGGCCUCUAGAGUGUUGGACUCGGAAUGGCUUGAUAAUGUCUUUGACUUAUUAGUUAUCCGGAUUCUGCGUCUCCUUAGGCCAAGGCGCCAGAUUGUUUGUGCCUGCGAAAGCGGCGCUCACACUCGACACCUUGAGCUCAAAUCAGGCAAGACUACCCGCUGAACUUAA
rnacentral:misc_RNA from 1 species